UGGGUUUGAUCUCAUUUUUUCUAUCACCAGAAUCCUUUCUUUCAGAUUGAACUUCCUGUGUAUCAGUUGAACCAGGAUUCUCAGUCAAAAACUGUUCCCAGAAUACAUCAUUGACUCCAGCUGCCACAGGAGCAGUCCCAGUUGCUGGUUCCUUCGGAGGAUCAGACUCUGUAGCUGAAGCUACAGCAGGCUCAGAAUUCAUGUCAAUAGCAGGAGACUUGGGCCGAUUAUCAGCACUAAAUUGUACACAAGAUAUGGCCAGGCUUUCAGCACAACUUGUAGAUUCAUCCAACUCUAAGGUUGAAUUGCUUUGAAUGUUGGUUUGGACAUCAUUAACAAUACUCUCCCAAAAUCUCAGAGUCGACUCCAAUUGCUCAAACUGCUCCACGUUUGACAGCGCAACAGAAUUACUGUCCGCAUUUUCUCUAGCAAGAGCUUGACAAGUCACCAUCUGAUUAUCCUCAAUACUGGCCUCAUCAUACAAAUAACCAAUUCUUGGCAACCUUCUCUUCCUAUCAUGGCCUGGUUCCAGCUGUGACAUGAGAUCUAAAGCAAGCCCAGGUUUCUGCAAGACUCGGGCCACAAAAGACACCAUCGUUUGCUGCUUUCGCUCCAUCUGUUGCAAUUUCUCCUUCAAUGCCUGCAUUUGCAUCUCAAAUCCUUGCUUCUCCUGUUCAUGCCUCUGUAAAUCCAAGACAAGAACUUGUUUCUCUUCUUCAAGCCUCUCUAUGUAAUCCUUCAAACUCUGUCUUUCUGAAUCGGUUAAUGGAUUAGAACCCUGUCCUUGGAGAUUUUGCAUAGAAUGGCUGUGAACUGGCUUCCGUCUGUGAAUGUUCUUCAUAAGGUGUGGUUGACCUCGUAUAAAAUCUUCAUUCCCAAAUUCCCAUUGUUCUGGAUCAAUCUUUCUAAAACCAUAUGUGUUGAGCUGUCUGAUGAAGCUUGAGAAGUUAUUGUGCUUAAAGAAUCUUGGGAGCAAAUCCUUUGAAAACUCCGGUGGAUUCCAUACAAUAAAGCUUUUAUUGCUCUGACUCCAUGAAACGACUGAAUCUGUGGAAGGAUCAUCCACCAUCUCAUAUGUCUUUGAAAGAAAAGGUGGCAGUGAAUUGGAACU
rnacentral:misc_RNA from 1 species